UUUGUUUAGAACGGUGUUCAAAAAUCGUUCAAAAUUAAUUGUUUAAUGUCAACGCGUUCGUUGCGAACGUUCGCCUAUGUUCGCUGAACUUGAACGCACCUCAGAUGUGCACAAUGACGUUUUAAUGCUUCAUGUUUUUGUUGUAAUGUCGUCAAAUCUAUACAUUUAUCAGAUCAAAUGUUGAGGUGACUGAACUGGUUUACUAUACUGUCACUCGCCCCCUCUUCUCCUCGCUUGUGUUCUGUGAUUGUACUGUGAUUAUUCAUAACCUGAGGCAUAUCUGUAGAAUGUGCUAUCUGUGAAAUUCAUAUGCACUGAUUUGGGUGAAUACACAUAAGGAAUAAUCUAUGUAACAAAACAUGUUGUUCAUCGUUAACAUAAAGCAUUUAUUAUUCAAGCCUACGAUGUCUUCCUCAGAUCAGAUAAGUGUGUUUAACACAACUGUAAAAAAACAAUGUUGACUGUGUGAGGGAAAACUUUUCAUUCAUCUUUUAUUUUCUUUAGCAGCAAAUAUUACUACUAAUGUCAAUAGAAUCAGGUGAUAUUUCGUCCAUCAUCUCAACAUUAGCCUCAUAUGGGCUGAUUUGGCUCAAGCCUUGUUGGUUCAAGUCACUCUGGCUGAGAGCAUCGGCUCUAUGAACUGAAGCUAUAGACUGAAGUUCACAACAGUUUGAAGCCUUAGCCUUGCAGACAACAAUCACCUGUCCAGAGAUGUAGUCAUCUUUAGCAGUGCUUUAUAGGUUUGGACCUGGGUGGACGGAACCAGCCCCAACACAACAGAUCAUCAUCAGGUGAUUCAACGCCGGUAGGGAGAGGAAGAGGGAGAGGGAGAGGACAGAGAGGCAGUGGAUCGGUGGGAGCUAGGCGAGGAGGACGACGAGGAAGAGGAGAACGAGAGUCAAGAGAAGAUCUUGAUAGGAUUGAAGGUUUCCAAAGGCAGAGAAGAGAAGCGACAGAGAGAUUACUGCAGGAGAUGAGCCUUGAUGAUCACAGACGCCUCGCAGCAGGAAUGUUGGAGAGGCAGCCGGGUCUGAUUUUUGAUCUGCUGCUGGAGCAUCAGCAAAGACAUGGUGCUCCUACAUCUGCAGAGGUACCGGGGGUACCGUGGUGUACCUGUGGCAAGUGCAGAGACAUGCCGACGGACAGGGAGAGGAAAUGCUGUGGCCAAGACCCUGUCCACUGUGUGAGCCUCCUGCCCCAUUUCACACAGUACUGCCUGGAUGAGGGUUACCUGCGGAUCCAUAGGCAGUACCGGGAGAACCUCACUGCCUUAGGAAAUGUAAGGGAGCCCGGCGAGGACAACAGGGAAUGCAGGCAUGCAGCUUACAGACAUUAUAUUUUCUGGCAGCAUGGCGCAUUAGGACAGGGGAACCGGAGAGUGAUUCCCAGCUGCUGUGUUUGGAGAAUUAGGGACAAAUUCCCUGACCCUCAGGGACAAUACACAGGCUACAUUCCAGGGAUCUGAGAGAUUGGCCUGAGUAGUGUUGUAAAUAUUUGGAGUAAAUAGUAAAGUUAUAUUUAUAUCUAUUUAGUAUUCUUUUGAGUUCUGUUUUCUGUUACGAAGAAUAAAAGAUUUGUUAUUUGA